rnacentral:rRNA from 1 species
GACGAACGCUGGCGGCGUGCCUAAUACAUGCAAGUAGAACGCUGAAGAGAGGAGCUUGCUCUUCUUGGAUGAGUUGCGAACGGGUGAGUAACGCGUAGGUAACCUGCCUUGUAGCGGGGGAUAACUAUUGGAAACGAUAGCUAAUACCGCAUAACAAUGGAUGACACAUGUCAUUUAUUUGAAAGGGGCAAUUGCUCCACUACAAGAUGGACCUGCGUUGUAUUAGCUAGUAGGUGAGGUAACGGCUCACCUAGGCGACGAUACAUAGCCGACCUGAGAGGGGGAUCGGCCACACUGGGACUGGGACACGGCCCAGACUCCUACGGGAGGCAGCAGUAGGGAAUCUUCGGCAAUGGGGGCAACCCUGACCGAGCAACGCCGCGGGAGUGAAGAAGGGUUUCGGAUCGUAAAGCUCUGUUGUAAGUCAAGAACGAGUGUGAGAGUGGAAAGUUCACACUGUGACGGUAGCUUACCAGAAAGGGACGGCUAACUACGUG